AUUGAACGCUGGCGGCAGGCCUAACACAUGCAAGUCGAGCGGAGCGGCGGACGGGUGCGUAAUGCCUAGGAAUCUGCCUGGGCGUGGGGGAUAACGACCGGAAACGGGCGCUAAUACCGCAUACUAUCAGAUUAGCCUAGGUCGGAUUAGCUAGUUGGUGGGGUACAGGCCUACCAAGGCGACGAUCCGUAACUGGUCUGAGAGGAUGAUCAGUCACACUGGAACUUAGACACGGUCCAGACUCCUACGGGAGGAAGCAGUGGGGAAUAUUGGACAAUGGGCGAAAGCCUGAUCCAGCCAUGCCGCGUGUGUGAAGAAGGUCUUCGGAUUUUAAAGCACUUUAAGUUGGGAGGCGUUACCCGCAGAAGAAGCACCGGCUAACUCCGUGCCAGCAGCCGCGGUAAUUC
rnacentral:rRNA from 1 species